GAGACAGCAGUCGCCGCGGUAAUACGGAGGGGGCUAGCGUUGUUCGGAAUUACUGGGCGUAAAGCGCACGUAGGCGGCUUGGUAAGUUAGAGGUGAAAGCCCGGAGCUCAACUCCGGAAUUGCCUUUAAGACUGCCGAGCUAGCAGGUGAGAGAGGUAAGUGGAAUUCCGAGUGUAGAGGUGAAAUUCGUAGAUAUUCGGAAGAACACCAGUGGCGAAGGCGGCUUACUGGCUCAUACUGGACGCUGAGGUGCGAAAGCGUGGGGAGCAAACAGGAUUAGAUACCCCCGUAGUCCCUGUCUCUUAUAC
rnacentral:rRNA from 1 species